rnacentral:misc_RNA from 1 species
AGCAGCCGCGGUAAUUCCAGCUCCAAUAGCGUAUAUUAAAGUUGUUGCAGUUAAAAAGCUCGUAGUUGAACUUCGGGGUUCACCCAUUGGUCAGGCUUAAUUGUCUGCACUGAUGAGAUGAAUCUCUACCUUCUGAGGAACUUUCAUGCCAUUUAUUUGGUGUGAUGGGAAAUCAGGACUGUUACUUUGAAAAAUUGAGUGUUUAAAGCAGGCUAACGUCUGAAUACAUUAGCAUGGAAUAAUGAAAUAGGACGGACUGAUUCUAUUUCGUUGGUUUCUAGGAUCACCGUAAUGAUUAAUAGGGAUAGUUGGGGGCAUUAGUAUUCAAUUGUCAGAGGUGAAAUUCUUGGAUUUAUGAAGACUAACUACUGCGAAAGCAUUUGCCAAGGAUGUUUUCAUUAAUCAAGAAACGAAGUUAGGGGAUCGAAGACGAUCAGAUACCGUCGUAGUCUUAACCAUAAACUAUACGCCGACUAGGGAUCGGGGACGUAAAGUUAAUUUAUAAUGAACGUC